AUUGAACGCUGGCGGCAGGCCUAACACAUGCAAGUCGAGCGAGCGGCGGACGGGUGAGUAAUGCCUGGGAAUUGCCCAGACGAGGGGGAUUACAGUUGGAAACGACUGCCAAUACCGCCUACGAUUGGACUGCCCAGGUGGGAUUAGCUAGUUGGUGAGGUAAUGGCUCACCAAGGAGACGAUCCCUAGCUGGUCUGAGAGGAUGAUGAGCCACACUUGAACGGAGACACUGUCCAGACUCCUACGUGAGGCAGCAGUGAGGAAUAUUGGACAAGGGGGGAAAACCUGAUGCGGCCAUGCCGCGUGUGUGAAGAAGGCCUUCGGGGUGUAAAGCACUUUCAUCGAGGAGGCGUUACUCGAAGAAGAAGCACCGGCUAACUCCGUGCCAGCAGCCGCGGUAAUUC
rnacentral:rRNA from 1 species